rnacentral:rRNA from 1 species
UACGGAGGUGGCAAGCGUUGCUCGGAAUCACUGGGCGUAAAGGGCGCGUAGGCGGGGAGGUAAGUCGGAUGUGAAAGCUCGGAGCUCAACUCCGAAAUGGCAUUGGAAACUACCUUGCUCGAGGGUUGGAGGGGGGACUGGAAUGCUUGGUGUAGCAGUGAAAUGCGUAGAUAUCAAGCGGAACACCAGUGGCGAAGGCGAGUCCCUGGACAACUCCUGACACUGAGGCACGAAAGCUAGGGGAGCAAACAGG